GAAUUUACAGUGGUUAGUACGACUGCAUACGACGCAGAAGGUACCGGGUUCAAUUCCCGGUGGAGUCA